rnacentral:rRNA from 1 species
UCUGGGACAAGCCCUGGAAACGGGGUCUAAUACCGGAUAACACUCUGUCCCGCAUGGGACGGGGUUGAAAGCUCCGGCGGUGAAGGAUGAGCCCGCGGCCUAUCAGCUUGUUGGUGGGGUGAUGGCCUACCAAGGCGACGACGGGUAGCCGGCCUGAGAGGGCGACCGGCCACACUGGGACUGAGACACGGCCCAGACUCCUACGGGAGGCAGCAGUGGGGAAUAUUGCACAAUGGGCGAAAGCCUGAUGCAGCGACGCCGCGUGAGGGAUGACGGCCUUCGGGUUGUAAACCUCUUUCAGCAGGGAAGAAGCGAAAGUGACGGUACCUGCAGAAGAAGCGCCGGCUAACUACGUGCCAGCAGCCGCGGUAAUACGUAGGGCGCAAGCGUUGUCCGGAAUUAUUGGGCGUAAAGAGCUCGUAGGCGGCUUGUUGCGUCGGUUGUGAAAGCCCGGGGCUUAACCCCGGGUCUGCAGUCGAUACGGGCAGGCUAGAGUGUGGUAGGGGAGAUCGGAAUUCCUGGUGUAGCGGUGAAAUGCGCAGAUAUCAGGAGGAACACCGGUGGCGAAGGCGGAUCUCUGGGCCAUUACUGACGCUGAGGAGCGAAAGCGUGGGGAGCGAACAGGAUUAGAUACCCUGGUAGUCCACGCCGUAAACGUUGGGAACUAG